rnacentral:rRNA from 1 species
GACGAACGCUGGCGGCGUGCUUAACACAUGCAAGUCGAACGGAAAGGCCUCUUUCGGGGGGUACUCGAGUGGCGAACGGGUGAGUAACACGUGAGUAACCUGCCCUUGACUUUGGGAUAACUUCAGGAAACUGGGGCUAAUACCCGAUAGGAGCUCCUGCUGCAUGGUGGGGGUUGGAAAGUUUCGGCGGUUGGGGAUGGACUCGCGGCUUAUCAGCUUGUUGGUGGGGUAGUGGGUUACCAAGGCUUUGACGGGUAGCCGGACUGAGGGGGUGACAGGCCACAUUGGGACUGAGGUGCGGCCCAGACGCCGACGGGAGGCAGCAGUGGGGAAUAUUGAACAAUGGGUGGAAGCCUGAUGCAGCAGCGCCGUGGGCGGGAUGACGGCCUUAGUGUUGAAAACCGCUUGCGCUCAUGACGAAGCUUUGUGUGACGGUAGUGGGUAAAGAAGCACCGGCUAACUACGUG